rnacentral:rRNA from 1 species
GAUGAACGCUGGCGGCGUGCUUAACACAUGCAAGUCGAACGGUGAAGGCGGAGCUUGCUCUGCUGGAUCAGUGGCGAACGGGUGAGUAACACGUGAGCAAUCUGCCCCUGACUCUGGGAUAAGCGCUGGAAACGGCGUCUAAUACUGGAUACGAGCUGCGAAGGCAUCUUCAGCAGCUGGAAAGAACUUCGGUCAGGGAUGAGCUCGCGGCCUAUCAGCUUGUUGGUGAGGUAACGGCUCACCAAGGCGUCGACGGGUAGCCGGCCUGAGAGGGUGACCGGCCACACUGGGACUGAGACACGGCCCAGACUCCUACGGGAGGCAGCAGUGGGGAAUAUUGCACAAUGGGCGAAAGCCUGAUGCAGCAACGCCGCGUGAGGGACGACGGCCUUCGGGUUGUAAACCUCUUUUAGCAGGGAAGAAGCGAAAGUGACGGUACCUGCAGAAAAAGCGCCUGCUAACUACGUG